rnacentral:lncRNA from 1 species
AAAAAGUAUGUUGACCCAAUAGUAAAAGCUAAGCAAGAAAGUCUACUACUAAUUUUGCCUCUCUAUAAACAUGUCAAAUUUGCCCGAAAAUCUAAAACAGCAAAUGCACAAUCCAAUUCUGCACAUUACAAAUCGGCCAACUAGAAGACAUUUUAAAUAAAAUUGGAUGGGUCAAGACUUGUGAAUACACCUCAACCUCAAUCUCUCUGAUUCCAUGUUGUUGAUAUAGU